GGGAGUUCAGGGAAAUGUAGUUCUGGUCGCCUCCUUCCCAAACCCUCACCCAGGGGAAGACAGCGGGUUGGGAAGAGGAGACCGCCUGGGUGACCUAGACGUGUAACUGUCUUUUCAUGCUCACCCACUGCGCUGUUUCAAAUACAGUGAGCCUGGGGGUGUAGCCCUGCAGCGGAGCCUGUGCUUAGCAUGCGGGAGGCACUGGGUUCGUCCCCACACUGAAAAAAUAAAAUGCAACCAACGUUGUUUCCUUGUGGGAGACAGGUCUCUCUGCAGAGCUGAGUAGACUCUGGCCCAAACGUCAAGGCCACAAAGGAGAUCAACACAAAAUGAAGACAGAGAUGUCAAGCCUUCAUCUUGACCUCAACAGACAUCAGCAGGCCCCAGCGAGGAGUCAGUGUUUUCAGAAAAAGUGACCUCCAGGUCCCUGAAGAGUAACCUAGACAACCGUUAGCAUCAUGACCCCCAGGUCAGAGGUGUGAUCUCGGGCCAAGCCAGUGGCAGACUGAUGGUGGAUUGCCCACGUGACCUCCAAAAGUAGUGAUUUUUAAAGUAAAUUAAUGCAGGUGAAAUGAGACAGUUUAUUUAGGCUUUUCCUCAGUAACAGGACCUUGGUUGGCCUCCCCACAGGACACAGGAGUGUCCUCAUGUAGCGCUGCUUUCCGGGCGGGGGGGUGGAGUGAUCAAGAGAGGGCAAGGGGGAAACUGCAGUGUCCUCUAUGACCUUGCCUCAGAUGUCAUGCCCUAUCCUUUCUGAAGUACAGAUCAGCCCUGUCGGAUGCCAGAGGAAACAGGAGUACCCGUGAGAAUCACUGGGGUCCAUCUUAGAAACUGGCUUUCAUCAUUAUCUAGAGCAGGGCUGCCUGUUUUAAUGAAGAGUUAGGGACAGCUAGCAAUGAAUUCUGUCCUUCCUCUCUUCCUCUGUCUUUCCCAAGGCUGGGGAUUGACUGAGGGCCUUGUGCUCCAUAGGCAAGUCAUCUAUCACUGAGCCACACCCCAGCUCCUAACUUUUCUUCUCUCCAACUUUUGGGGGGGCAGGGGUGGGAUGAGGACUAGGGAUUAAACCUACGGGUACUUUACUACUGAGCUAAGGCCUCAGACUUUCUAAAUUUUUUAUUUUGAGACAGGGUCUCACUAAGUUGCUGAGGGUUGAGUUAAAUUGAACUUGCAGUCCUCCUGUGUAGCUGGGAUUACAGAUGUGUGCCACGGUACCCGGUUUGCUUUCUCAAACUUUCUAAUUAGAAAAUGAUCAUAUCUACUUGAAAAUGUAAUAGUAGUACAGAGAACUCCAAUAUAUCAUUCACCUCGAUGCACCAAUUGUCGACAUUUGAUACAUUUACUCUCUGCAUGUAUUUACUUGAAUUUUUUUUUCUUUGGUUCCUUGCAGACAGCAUGCUAACACUUCCUCCCAAAAUCUAAAUAUGUAUCACUCCUAAGAAAGGACUUUCUCCUCCAUAACCACAAUGCAAUUAUCACACUUAGAAAACUUAAUAUUAAUACUAUACUAUUGUUUAAUAUACAGUUCAUAUAAAAAUAUCUUUGAUAUGGAGAAUGAGAUUGAUCAGAUUAUAUUAUGUACAUGUACGAAUAUGACAUAAUGAAUCAUACUCUUAUGUAUGAUUAUAAUCCACCAAUUAAAAAAUAUAUUUCUGGGUGUAGUGGCAACACACCUGUAAUCCCAGCAGCUCAGGAGGCUGAGGCAGGAGGAUCACAACUUCAAAGCCAGUCUGGGCAAUAUAGUGAGAUCUUGUCUCAAGAUAAAAAAUAAAAGGGUUGGGGAUGUAAUUCAGUGUCAAAGUACCUCUGGGUUCAUUUCCCAGUACUGGGGGGGAAAGUAUCUCAGUAAUAUUCCAUAUAUAUAUAUAUAUAUAUAUAUAUAUAUAUUCUGCACCAGAAACCCAUCCAGGAUCACAGAUUGCAUUUAGAUGUAGUGUUCCACCAGGUGGAAUCCCAGGGACUCUCCUGGCUGAAGCAGGAGGAUCACAAUUUCAAGGACAGCCUCUGCAAUUUAGGGAGACCAUGUCUCAAAAUAAAAAGUAAGCCGGGCGUGGUGAUGCAUGCCUGUAAUCCCAGUAGCUCUGAAGGCUAAGGCAGGAGGAUCGCCAGUUCAAACCAGUCUCGGCAAUUUAUCAAGGCGCUAAGCAGCUCAGUGAGACCUUGUGUCUAAAUAAAAUAUCAAAAAGGGCUGUGGAUGUGGCUCAGUAGUUAAGCAUCUCUGGGUUUAAUCCUGGUACCAAAACACAUAAACAAACAAACAAAUAAAAUAAAAAGGGCUGAGGGUGUAUCUCAGUGGUUGCACACCCCUGGGUUCAAUCCCCAGUAGCAAAGGAGGGGGGAAAUCAAGUCCCUUACCUCCUUUUAUCUGGAAUAAUCUCUUCUCAUUCUUUUCUGUAUUUCAACACACUGGCCAUUUUUGAUGAUUCCCAAUCAGUUAUUUUGCAGAAUGUCCCUUAAUUUGGAUUUGUCUGAUGUUUCAUCAUAGACAUAUAGAUAGAUAGACAGAUAGAUAGAUAGAUAGAUAGAUAGAUGAUAGAUAGAUGGAUCUAUAUAUCUAGGUUUAACCUUUUUUGUCAAGAAUAUCACCAAGUGACACUGUUUUCCUCCCAGAGCAUCCCCUCAGGGGCAUGUGAUGUCGAUGGAUCUCAUCCUUGGUGACAUUAAACUCAAUCACUUGGCUAAGGUAA